rnacentral:rRNA from 1 species
GACGAACGCUGGCGGCGUGCUUAACACAUGCAAGUCGAACGGAAAGGCCCUGCUUUUGUGGGGUGCUCGAGUGGCGAAAGGGUGAGUAACACGUGAGUAAACUGCCCUUGACUUUGGGAUAACUUCAGGAAACUGGGGCUAAUACCGGAUAGGAGCUCCUGCUGCAUGGUGGGGGUUGGAAAGUUUCGGCGGUUGGGGAUGGACUCGCGGCUUAUCAGCUUGUUGGUGGGGUAGUGGCUUACCAAGGCUUUGACGGGUAGCCGGCCUGAGAGGGUGACCGGCCACAUUGGGACUGAGAUACGGCCCAGACUCCUACGGGAGGCAGCAGUGGGGAAUAUUGCACAAUGGGCGGAAGCCUGAUGCAGCAACGCCGCGUGCGGGAUGACGGCCUUCGGGUUGUAAACCGCUUUCGCCUGUGACGAAGCGUGAGUGACGGUAAUGGGUAAAGAAGCACCGGCUAACUACGUG